rnacentral:lncRNA from 1 species
UUUAUCGAUACAUUUGGUUCAAUUUCCAUUCCAACUAAGUUUCUAAACAAAACUUUAUAUUAGUCUUACUAUGUAGAAUAUAAAUAUGAUUUUUAUAUUUUAAUCACCUCCACACUUAUGGAACUCAAGGUACAAGUGAAGGGGGGCUUAAAUAUAAAAAUCGUGUUAUAACUCUAUAUAUCAAGACUAAAAUAUAAAUUGUGUAGGAAUUACCUAGAAAUGUAAUGAAAAUUGAUCUAAACAGAAUCUUAGAGUUCAAUAUUAGUUAGAAAGAACAAAUAGAAGUAACUAUAUGAAUUAUUAUGCUAGAGGAUAGGUUGGAAUGUUGCUUUGGAUGACAGGUUGAGUGGUUUAUGGUUUACUGCACAAUCAUUCUUGCAAUUACCUUUUUCAUUUUUCUUCACUAAUUGCUCCUUCGGAAUGCUUGGUUGUGCCUUUUGAAAUCUUCUGAAAAUUUAUAAGCGGAUGUCUUUCUCUUGUACAGUUUAAGAGUUGUUUGCUUGAUGUUUAAGGUAUAAAUGCAAGAUGAGUAACAAUCGUUUGUUUAAGGUAUAAAUGCAAGAUGAGGAUGGCAGUAAAGCCUGUCGGGUAAUAAUUCAGUAUUAAUCUAGUAAGACACAGGGAUUGAUAGCAAGUGAUAUAAGAUGGGAUCGUUGAAUAAAAUGAGGGGAGUUUAGGAUUUGGUAAAUAAAAGAAUAGGGGGUGCAAUGCGGAAAUUUAAGAUUUAAGAUAGAAACACAAGAGUACAAUAGAAAUUAGGGAUUUAAGUGAAGAAAUAACAAGGGUAGAGAGAGACAGCAAAAGAACAAAUACGAGGAAAGAUG